GUCCACGCCGUAAACGAUGUCAACUAGCCGUUGGUUCUAUUUACAGAAUUAGUGGCGCAGCUAACGCAUUAAGUUGACCGCCUGGGGAGUACGGCCGCAAGGUUAAAACUCAAAUGAAUUGACGGGGCCCGCACAAGCGGUGGAGCAUGUGGUUUAAUUCGAUGCAACGCGAAGAACCUUACCUACCCUUGACAUCCAGAGAAUCUGUUAGAGAUAGUAGAGUGCCUUCGGAGCUCUGAGACAGGUGCUGCAUGGCUGUCGU
rnacentral:rRNA from 1 species